UCACUUUUUUCAUAUUUUUUUCCUUCUUAUUUCUUUCACUUCUUUCAUUUUUUUUUAAUACUAAUACCAAUUAAUGACCUGACCAACAUCCAGAACCUCUGAAUGUUUAGAGAGCAUGAACAGAUAGGUGAGAAUGAGAUGAGAGACUACAGGAAACGUGACAGAACCACUUGGGCACCCAACAGAAAAUAAGCAUAGUGACUGUAUGGCAAGUAUAUGGUUAAAAAGGGGUCUGUUUGAAACAAAUGGUUUAAGCAUAAGUCUAUUCAUGCACAUACAUGAAAAAGGAAUUAUUUCAAUGGUAGUUUUGAUUUAAUUGCUUAUGAUGAAAGACAGAGAGAAUUGGUGAAAGACACAUGGGUGGUAAAUGCUUUAACUGUACUAUAAAUUGAAGAACUUUCUAUCAUGCACAACUAUAUUACUGUAAUUAUUUAAUCCC